GACGAACGCUGGCGGCAUGCCUAAUACAUGCAAGUUGAACGAUGAUAUUCUCUGCUUGCAGAGAAUUGAAGAGUAGCGAACGGGUGAGUAACACGUGGGGAACCUGCCCAUGAGAGGGGGAUAACAUUCGGAAACGGAUGCUAAUACCGCAUAAUGCUUUGGACCGCCUGGUCCAGAGACGAAAGACGGCUUUUGCUGUCACUCAUGGAUGGCCCCGCGCCGUAUUAGCUAGUUGGUGAGGUAAUGGCUCACCAAAGCUGUGAUACGUAGCCGACCUGAGAGGGUGAUCGGCCACACUGGGACUGAGACACGGCCCAGACUCCUACGGGAGGCAGCAGUAGGGAAUCUUCCACAAAGGGCGAAAGCCUGAUGGAGCAAUGCCGCGUGAAUGAAGAAGGUCUUCGGAUCGUAAAGUUCUGUUAUUAGAGAAGAACAAGUCAAGGAGUAACUGUCUUGACUUUGACGGUACCUAACCAGAAAGUCACGGCUAACUACGUG
rnacentral:rRNA from 1 species